CUGUCACAUAGACACAUAUAUGGCCUAACAGAGUGGGAAACGUGGUCACGGCUUUGGCAACUGUUGUCCAGUAAAAACAAAAACAGAACAAAUAAACAAAAAACAGAGAUCCUGUUACCAAGGUGACAAAAGAAACUGAGAACAUCUGAUAUUCUUCUCUGGCAGUGGAACCUCCAGAAAUGGUUCUUUCUGCUCUGGGGACCAACCUACCCCCUACCCAAGCAUCUCCAGCAGCAUUGACACAGCUUGUGUCCCUGCCAUUAGAGAAGUCUCACAGGUGAAGGUGACUAUCAGUAGAAACCAAAAUGCUGACUCCAUGGCUACCAAAGACCUCAUCCUUCCAUCUCAGGCUACAAGACUGUUACCCUAGCUACUCAACUCAACUCAACUGUCUAACAAAAGAAGCUGAUAUAUCAAGAGAAUAAAACAGGAAGGAUUUGGAAAGCAGAAUUUACUACCAGGCUGUUGUAUCCAUGAGUAGCAUUUGAUCCAUGGAUGGUAGCUGCUGGUGACAGAUCUAGAGAAUGAAUGAACACCCUACUCUUAAAGAGCUUGCAAUUGAGCAAGGAUAACAUGGAAAUGUCAUUUGUAUUUUAAUAAAUAAUAAGUUCCAGAUAAGUGA